rnacentral:rRNA from 2 species
UACGAACUGUGCGAACGUUAUUCGGAAUCACUGGGCUUAAAGGGUGCGUAGGCGGUUACUUAAGUAGGGUGUGAAAUGUCCCGGCUCAACCGGGGAAUGGCGCUCUAAACUGGGUGGCUUGAGUGAGAUAGAGGUGUGCGGAACUUCCGGUGGAGCGGUGAAAUGUGUUGAUAUCGGAGGGAACACCAUUGGCGAAAGCGGCACACUGGGUCUCAACUGACGCUGAGGCACGAAAGCCAGGGGAGCAAACGGG